UACGAAGGGGGCUAGCGUUGUUCGGAAUUACUGGGCGUAAAGCGCGUGUAGGCGGCAAUGCAAGUCGGGCGUGAAAUCCCACGGCUCAACCGUGGAAGUGCACUCGAAACUGCAUAGCUAGAGUCCUGGAGAGGAAGGUGGAAUGCUUGGUGUAGAGGUGAAAUUCGUAGAUAUCAAGCGGAACACCGGUGGCGAAGGCGGCCUUCUGGACAGUGACUGACGCUGAGACGCGAAAGCGUGGGGAGCAAACAGG
rnacentral:rRNA from 1 species